AAUCAACGCUGGCGGCGUGCCUCAGACAUGCAAGUCGAACGAUUAAGACUUCCUUCGGGAAGUGUAUAAAGUGGCGCACGGGUGAGUAACACGUAAGUAAUCUACCCUCGAGUGGGGAAUAACAUCGGGAAACCGAUGCUAAUACCGCAUAACGCAGCGGCACCGCAAGGUGACAGUUGUUAAAGGAGUAAUUCGCUUGAGGAGGAGCUUGCGGCAGAUUAGCUAGUUGGUAAGGUAACGGCUUACCAAGGCUACGAUCUGUAUCCGGUCUAAGAGGACGGUCGGACACACUGACACUGAAUAACGGGUCAGACUCCUACGGGAGGCAGCAGUCGGGAAUUUUGGGCAAUGGGCGAAAGCCUGACCCAGCAACGCCGCGUGAAGGAUGAAGUAUUUCGGUAUGUAAACUUCGAAAGAAUGGGAAGAAUAAAUGACGGUACCAUUUAUAAGCUCCGGCUAACUACGUGCCAGCCGCCGCGGUAACAC
rnacentral:rRNA from 1 species